rnacentral:rRNA from 1 species
UACAGAGGUCUCUAGCGUUGUUCGGAUUCAUUGGGCGUAAAGGGUGUGUAGGUGGCGCGCUAAGUCGGGUGUGAAAUUUCGGAGCUUAACUCCGAAACUGCAUUCGAUACUGGCGUGCUUGAGGACUGGAGAGGAGACUGGAAUUCAUGGUGUAGCAGUGAAAUGCGUAGAGAUCAUGAGGAAGACCAGUGGCGAAGGCGGGUCUCUGGACAGUUCCUGACGCUGAGGCACGAAGGCCAGGGGAGCAAACGGG